GAUGAACGCUAGCGGCAGGCCUAAUACAUGCAAGUCGAACGGAGUGGAGCAGCAAUGCUUCACUUAGUGGCGCACGGGUGCGUAACGCGUAUGCAACCUACCUUUUAUUGGGGGAUAGCCCGAAGAAAUUCGGAUUAAUACCGCAUAAUAUCAUUUGAGGGCAUCUGAGGAUGAUGAAAGCUUUGGCGAUAAAAGAUGGGCAUGCGUGUCAUUAGCUAGUUGGUCGAGGUAACGGCUCACCAAGGCGACGAUGACUAGGGGUUCUGGGAGGAUGAUCCCCCACACUGGUACUGAGAUACGGACCAGACUCCUACGGGAGGCAGCAGUAGGGAAUAUUGGGCAAUGGCGGAAACGCUGACCCAGCCAUGCCGCGUGCCGGAUGAAGGCCUUCUGGGUUGUAAACGGCUUUUACCAGGGAAGAACCUACCUUUGCGAAGGGAACUGACGGUACCUGGUGAAUAAGCACCGGCUAACUCCGUGCCAGCAGCCGCUGUAACAC
rnacentral:rRNA from 1 species